UACGAAGGGGGCUAGCGUUGUUCGGAAUUACUGGGCGUAAAGGGCGCGUAGGCUGUGCUGUAAGUCAGGCGUGAAAGCCCCGGGCUCAACCUGGGAAUUGCGCUUGAUACUGCGGCGCUGGAAGGUGGGAGAGGAUGGCGGAAUUCCCAGUGUAGAGGUGAAAUGACGUAGAGAUCGGGAGGAACAUCAGUUGCGAAGGCGGCUCUCUGGACCAGCACUGACACUGAGGCACGAAAGCGUGGGGAGCAAACAGG
rnacentral:rRNA from 1 species